AGAGUUUGAUCCUGGCUCAGGAUGAACGCUAGCGGCAGGCCUAAUACAUGCAAGUCGAGGGGUAAGAUCCGCCCUUUGGCGGAAACACGACCGGCGCACGGGUGCGUAACGCGUAUGCAACCUACCUCUAACAGGGGGAUAGCCCCGAGAAAUCGGGAUUAAUACCCCAUAACAAUCGUAAUCCGCAUGGGUUACGGUUUAAAGCUCCGGCGGUUAGAGAUGGGCAUGCGUGACAUUAGCUAGUUGGUGAGGUAACGGCUCACCAAGGCGACGAUGUCUAGGGGUUCUGAGAGGAUGAUCCCCCACACUGGUACUGAGACACGGACCAGACUCCUACGGGAGGCAGCAGUAAGGAAUAUUGCGCAAUGGAGGCAACUCUGACGCAGCCAUGCCGCGUGCAGGAAGACGGCCUUAUGGGUUGUAAACUGCUUUUAUAAAGGAAUAAACCCCCGAACGUGUUCGGGGUUGAAGGUACUUUAUGAAUAAGCACCGGCUAACUCCGUGCCAGCAGCCGCGGUAAUACGGAGGGUGCAAGCGUUAUCCGGAUUCAUUGGGUUUAAAGGGUGCGCAGGCGGAUGAUUAAGUCAGUGGUGAAAUCCCGGGGCUCAACCUCGGAACUGCCAUUGAUACUGGUCAUCUUGAAUUCGGUUGAAGUGGGCGGAAUGUAGCAUGUAGCGGUG
rnacentral:rRNA from 1 species